UAUGGUGAGAGCGACUUUGCUGAAAGCUAUUAAAAGUUCCGAAAAAAACUGUGUAGAAGUUGAACGUACCUUCACCUAUCAUGAAAAUGGUGUGAGCAGUUUAGAAGUCGGUAGCAGUGGUGGCACUGUGAUCGAUGGGUCGACCCUCCAAGUUUGUCCAGGCACUACAGUCAGCCUCACCUGUUCUCAUGAUGAUGUUGAUGAUCAGACUCGUUGGAGUUUCAGUGGUCCCGUAGUGUGUGCUACUGUUGUUGUACAUAAUACAAACCCAAGCACUACCAUGUGCGGUGAAUUGUUCACACUCUCUAUUAAUAUGGUCACUGCUGCCAAUGAGCAACCAAGGAUGUCUACUCUUGUGUUGCUAGCUGAUGAGUCACUGAAUGGUGCUGUGGUGACUUGUUUUGCUGGUGGUUCUUCAUCUGAUCCUCAAGUCGGGAACUUCACUAUACAAGUUAUCGGUUCACCUUCCACUCCAACUGUUAACAGUAUGGAAUACUCUGUGGCCGAUUCAAGUACCGGACGAUCUACAUUCUUGGCCAGCAGUAGCGGGACCUUCGGGACAGCGGUCACUAUUUCUGCCAGUGUGGUUGGAGGCAGUGGCUCAGUGGUUGUGACUGACAACAUUAUCACUGUGACUGGAUUAAGCUACACUGGCUCCCACGCAGUCAGAGUGGUGGCUGCCAGUACUAUGUGUCCAAGACUGUUGAACAACACUAAUGUUCCUGUGAUGUUCAACGUAAGAUCCCUUGUACUGAUUCAACCCACUGGAUUCGUUGUGUGUUCGAAUCCAUCAUUGCCAAUCAGUGGAUCAUGGAGUAUGAUUAAAGGCGUUCAGAGCAGCAAUAACCCAACAGUUCAGUUGACUCCUCCCCCAAUUGGUAAACCGACCAUAACCUUCACUUCUUCAGCAGGGGGUCUUAGUGGCAAUGCAGUCUAUAUUCCUGAUUCAUCCUACCAGCUCACUGACACAGUGGAGAAUGAUGUGUACACUUUCACUGUAACCGUGACUAAUGCGGCUGGACCCAGCAGGGAAAUAUCUGAAAGAGUUGUUGUUACCCCGUUCAUUGUUGAUGAGAGUACACUGGAAACAAUGGAUUGCCUCACAUGUUCUCUCGGUCAAAACUGUGUUUCUGAGCAAAGUGGAAACUUUGACAUCCAGUUUGAAGAAGGAUCUGGUGUAUGUCGAGACUUGCUUCCAUCAGAUUUCAGCACAUCCACCAUACAACUGAUGCCUCGGUCUGCUUGUGCACCCGUGGCUUCAUCCACUAACCUGUGUUAUCGUGCAACUCUGAUGUAUAAUGGAAUAGUAAUCAGCACUUAUGCUAAUCGCGAAUUUGCUGGGUGCCCCGUAAGUGUCUUUCCUUCUUUUCUGGCAGAUGGUGUUUCCUACCAGCUUGAUGGAGAAGUAACCACUGGCAACGUGUCUCACCUCACGACUGCUACUCUGAGCUGUACCGAAACUUUUACCUCUGUAUCUGGAGCAGCUGUGGUGACAUGUGUUGAUGGUCAGUGGAACAACAUGGGCAUACGGUGGUGUUCUAGAUCAUUUGCAGAAACUACUGCCAUAUCUGUAAUUGUGACUUUCCUGUUGACUCUGGUUCUUGGAGUAUCCAUUGGUGCAUUUAUUGUACCAGCAGUGAACAAGUGCAGGACGUCUGAGAAGGUAACUCUGCAAACUGAAACUGAAAUGAGACCACCACCUGUCGCAAUAUACGAGGACCCCGAUGUCGUUAAACCUGACCCUCGUACUCAGGGGAAUGCUGCUUAUGGACAUGUACAGUUCAGUUAGUUUCGAAUCGAACAUAUCAACGAUGGGGAGGAGCUCAUGGCCAACAUACCUGAAUCCCCUCCCACCUGUGGUACCAUCAAGCUAUCAAUUAAUGAAUAACUGUCAUAGUCAAUCAAAUGGACCCAAUGAUUGUAUGGACUCGAUCGGAUCGACAACACACUCUACCCAACUUGUACCACUGGCUAUGUCGAAGGAAAAAAUAAAUGAAUCGACGUUAUAAAAGAGUCGAUGUUUACCAGUAUUUGUAUAAUAGUAAGUCGACCUUUACUAUACGAUUUAAUUUCAAGGACACAACAAAGAAAUAAUGUAGCUAUAGAUUUGAAUUCAUACUCUAGAUCUAUCCUUUCAAAAGGUCAUUACCGUAUAGUGGGUAAUUUUCAUGGGGUAAAAAUUCGUUAUUUUCGUGGGCAAACUGACCUCCACGAAAUGUUAACGUAGGCGUGGCUUACCGGAACGUAUGAAUGCAGUGCAGGCAACAACAUUUUUACUCACGAAAACCACCGUUUUCCAGAUAAAAGAAUUUUUUACCCCACGAAAAUUACCCGCUAUACGGUAAUGAAUUAAGCACGUGCUCUAUGUUUCUCAUGGAGAUCCAACCUGAUGCUAUUUAUUUCAUUGAUGUACCUCAGAUCGUUCAUCAUCUUGAUCAGCUCUCUUAAUUCUUCAGACAAAAUAACAAUAAUCAAUCUGUUGUACCCUGAGGUAUACACCGGUAAGAAGCGAGAAAUUCUAACUUAACCUUUUGACCUCUACACCACACCCAUUUUGACCAACGUUUUUGAAACGCAUGAAGUAUGACUAUACAGUAGAACCUCGAUUAUCCGGACACCUUGGUUCCAGAAGCAGGCCGGAUAAGUGAAUAUGCCGGAUAAUCGAAUAGAUAACCUACGCCUUGAUCCACCCACUUUAUUGAUAAACAGUAGUGCCAUAUGGUUGUCUGCGCAUGCGCAGAAGAUAAGCAGGCAUGUCUCCAUGGUAAUAACUGCAACGCGCAUGCGUAUUUGAGGGACACGCCCAUUUUCUGAAAAGAAAACUGCCAAGCCGGAUAAUCGAGGUUCUACUGUAGCAGUGUUUACAAGCCUUCAAAACAUUGCUUAGACUAAGCGGUUCUUGUUCAUUAAAAAAGGUUCUUAGAACUAUUACCUUCAAACGAUUAAAGUAUAGUUUGAGUUAUGCGUGUUAACUACUAACGCAUUGGGUCCAAAGGUCAGGAAUGCCGUACGCAAUAAUUUUCUAGCGGUAUUAUCCUUGACUUUUUGACCCUGUCGAACCUCCUCUGCAUGAACUAUACCUAUAUACCCUACGUGUACUCAGUCUCUAUAUACAUUCAUUAAUGGUUUUGUAAUUAAGUGUAUCUCCUUAGCAAUACAUAGAAUAGGCUAGUCCACGCACGAACAGGUUUGCAAUGUAUGGAAACAAACGAGCAGGGAGAUUCGUACAUCAAUCCAUACAAUGCUACAUAGUUGUAAUAAUGGAAUUGCAUAGUGCCACACCUGUGAUUAUAUAUUGUAGACUAUAACAUCCUACAUUAUAUCAGCACAUCGCAUCUUAAAUUGAAGUUUACUGCACAAAGUCUCAUGAUUGUAAUCAUUGUUACCUAUACACAAUAGCAACUAUAGAAAACCACUUUCAUUUGCAAUGACAGUUUAUUUAGUACAAACAACACAAUUAAGUUCUUUGUUCGGAUCAUAUGGAGGACAAGGAAGGCCACCGCAACCAGCCUCAACAUUGUGAAAGGCAAAUCUUAAUACAUCAACACCUACAUUUCCCGGAAGAGAUUCUUGAUCUUCAUCAACACAUUCGAAUCUUCCUCGUCCGCGCCCUUGGGCAUGAUAAGUUGUCAUUAUGUAUCCUCGAUAUUCCCGGGUCCAAGAAGCUGGGCAAUUGGCUUUAGCUGGAAUCAUAACUUUUGCUGCUCUCGUUGUGACUACACACACAGCACAAGGAAUAUUAUGAUAGCUAUGCCCUCCUAAUGGUUGCGAAUAUUCUCCGCCAAAAAUAUAUGCCUGGCCUUGAACACCUGGUAUGCUGGGAAGAACGUACUCUGGGUCUUUUGGCAUGCAGAGAUAGUUUCCACCUCCUCCUUCGUGAAAAAUGUGACUUCCACCAGCUAUUCCUGAGUAGAGCAUCUCAGUUCCAUAAAUAUUGGAACAGGUGCUCUUGCCCCAGCGCGUGUAGAUGAUACCUCCCCUUAUGGGCCCAGGUGGACCACGUUCUCCAGUCUUUCCUAUUGGUCCAGGGUCUCCAUUUGUUCCAGGUAGCCCGUUUAAGCCGUCUCUAUCCGGCACACCUGGUUGACCAUCGCGACCAUCUCUUCCUCUCAGAAGCUCCAUUGAAAUACAUGUAGUAUAGUUGUCGUGUUCUGUUGUUGUGUUGCUGUUUUCUUUCUUCAGAAGAACAUUCCCUAUAAUAUAUAUAUAU